UACGGAAGGCAGCAGUGGGGAAUAUUGCACAAUGGGCGCAAGCCUGAUGCAGCCAUGCCGCGUGUAUGAAAAAGGCCUUCGGGUUGUAAAGUACUUUCAGUCGUGAGGAAGGUGUUAAGGUUAAUAACCUUAGCAAUUGACGUUAGCGACAGAAGAAGCACCGGCUAACUCCGUGCCAGCAGCCGCGGUAAUACGGAGGGUGCGAGCGUUAAUCGGAAUUACUGGGCGUAAAGGGCACGCAGGCGGUUAAUUAAGUUGGAUGUGAAAUCCCCGGGCUUAGCCUGGGAAUGGCAUUCAAGACUGGUUAGCUAGAGUCUUGUAGAGGGGGUAGAAUUCCAUGUGUAGCGGUGAAAUGCGUAGAGAUGUGGAGGAAUACCGGUGGCGAAGGCGGCCCCUGGACAAAGACUGACGCUCAUGUGCGAAAGCGUGGGGAGCAAACAGGGAUUAGAUACC
rnacentral:rRNA from 1 species